rnacentral:rRNA from 1 species
UACGGAGGGUGCGAGCGUUGUCCGGAAUCAUUGGGCGUAAAGGGCGCGUAGGUGGCCCGGUCAGUUCGUGGUGAAAGCGCGGGGCUCAACCCUGCGUCGGCCAUGAAUACUGCCGCGGCUGGAGCACUGUAGAGGCAGGCGGAAUUCCGGGUGUAGCGGUGAAAUGCGUAGAGAUCCGGAAGAACACCGGUGGCGAAGGCGGCCCGCUGGGGUGGAGCUGACGCUGAGGCGCGACAGCGUGGGGAGCAAACAGG